rnacentral:rRNA from 1 species
AUUGAACGCUGGCGGCAGGCCUAACACAUGCCAGUCGAACGGUAACAGGAAGAAGCUUGCUUCUUUGCUGACGAGUGGCGGACGGGUGAGUAAUGUCUGGGAAACUGCCUGAUGGAGGGGGAUAACUACUGGAAACGGUAGCUAAUACCGCAUAACGUCGCAAGACCAAAGAGGGGGACCUUCUGGCCUCUUGCCAUCGGCUGUGCCCAGAUGGGAUUAGCUAGUAGGUGGGGUAACGGCUCACCUAGGCGACGAUCCCUAGCUGGUCUGAGAGGAUGACCAGCCACACUGGAACUGAGACACGGUCCAGACUCCUACGGGAGGCAGCAGUGGGGAAUAUUGCACAAUGGGCGCAAGCCUGAUGCAGCCAUGCCGCGUGUAUGAAGAAGGCCUUCGGGUUGUAAAGUACUUUCAGCGGGGAGGAAGGGAGUAAAGUUAAUACCUUUACUCAUUGACGUUACCCGCAGAAGAAGCACCGGCUAACUCCGUG